rnacentral:rRNA from 1 species
GAUGAACGCUGGCGGCGUGCCUAAUACAUGCAAGUCGAGCGAACGGACGAGAAGCUUGCUUCUCUGAUGUUAGCGGCGGACGGGUGAGUAACACGUGGAUAACCUACCUAUAAGACUGGGAUAACUUCGGGAAACCGGAGCUAAUACCGGACGAUAUUUUGAACCGCAUGGUUCAAAAGUGGAAGACGGUCUUGCUGUCACUUAUAGAUGGAUCCGCGCUGCAUUAGCUAGUUGGUAAGGUAACGGCUUACCAAGGCAACGAUGCAUAGCCGACCUGAGAGGGUGAUCGGCCACACUGGAACUGAGACACGGUCCAGACUCCUACGGGAGGCAGCAGUAGGGAAUCUUCCGCAAUGGGCGAAAGCCUGACGGAGCAACGCCGCGUGAGUGAUGAAGGUCUUCGGAUCGUAAAACUCUGUUAUUAGGGAAGAACAUAUGUGUAAGUAACUGUGCACAUCUUGACGGUACCUAAUCAGAAAGCCACGGCUAACUACGUG